AAAGAUUACUUGUCAACAGAUAAAGAUUUUCUCUAAGAUUCUAUUUGUGAAAAGAAUUACCCUCAUUCAAGAUGCCUGGGAUCAAAAUCCGUGAUGUAGACAGGAAAAAAAUCCCAGCGAAGUAUAUAUGUACUUCCUGCCAUUUCCUCCUCGUCAAUCCAACACAGACAAUGUGUGGACAUUUGUUUUGUCAAUCUUGUAUCGACAUUAUACUUGGAAGUUCUGACCCAAAAUGUCCCGAAGAUCAAGAAAAAUUGAGCAGAAAUGAUGUUUUCCCUGAUGCUUUUACAAAACGUGAGUUGAAAAGUAUUCGUUUACAUUGUCC